AGAGUUUGAUCCUGGCUCAGGAUGAACGCUAGCGGCAGGCCUAACACAUGCAAGUCGAGGGGUAUAUAGUGCUUGCAUUAUAGAGACCGGCGCACGGGUGCGUAACGCGUAUGCAACCUACCUAUUACAGGGGAAUAGCCCGAAGAAAUUCGGAUUAAUGCCCCAUGGUAUUGAGAGAUAUCCUUAUCUUUUAAUUAAAGAUUUAUCGGUAAUAGAUGGGCAUGCGUCCUAUUAGCUAGUUGGUGUGGUAACGGCAUACCAAGGCAACGAUAGGUAGGGGCCCUGAGAGGGGGAUCCCCCACACUGGUACUGAGACACGGACCAGACUCCUACGGGAGGCAGCAGUGAGGAAUAUUGGACAAUGGAGGGAACUCUGAUCCAGCCAUGCCGCGUGUAGGAAGACAGCCCUAUGGGUUUUAAACUACUUUUAUACAGGAAGAAUAAGAACUACGUGUAGUUUGAUGACGGUACUGUAAGAAUAAGGACCGGCUAACUCCGUGCCAGCAGCCGCGGUAAUACGGAGGGUCCGAGCGUUAUCCGGAAUUAUUGGGUUUAAAGGGUCCGUAGGCGGAUUAAUAAGUCAGGGGUGAAAGUUUGCAGCUCAACUGUAAAAUUGCCUUUGAUACUGUUAGUCUUGAAUUACUAUGAAGUGGUUAGAAUGUGUAGUGUAGCGGUGAAAUGCAUAGAUAUUACACAGAAUACCGAUUGCGAAGGCAGAUCACUAAUAGUACAUUGACGCUGAUGGACGAAAGUGUGGGGAGCGAACAGGAUUAGAUACCCUGGUAGUCCACGCCGUAAACGAUGGUUACUAGCUGUUCGGUCGCAAGACUGAGUGGUUAAGCGAAAGUGAUAAGUAACCCACCUGGGGAGUACGUUCGCAAGAAUGAAACUCAAAGGAAUUGACGGGGGCCCGCAUAAGCGGUGGAGCAUGUGGUUUAAUUCGAUGAUACGCGAGGAACCUUACCAGGGCUUAAAUGUGUCUGACAGCUUUAGAGAUAGGGUUUCCUUCGGGCAGAUCACAAGGUGCUGCAUGGUUGUCGUCAGCUCGUGCCGUGAGGUGUCAGGUUAAGUCCUAUAACGAGCGCAACCCCUUCCGUUAGUUGCCAGCAUGUCAAGAUGGGGACUCUAACGGGACUGCCGGUGCAAACCGUGAGGAAGGUGGGGAUGACGUCAAAUCAUCACGGCCCUUACGUCCUGGGCUACACACGUGCUACAAUGGCCGGUACAGAGGGCAGCUACCAUGCGAAUGGAUGCGAAUCUUAAAAACCGGUCACAGUUCGGAUCGGAGUCUGCAACUCGACUCCGUGAAGCUGGAGUCGCUAGUAAUCGGAUAUCAGCCAUGAUCCGGUGAAUACGUUCCCGGGCCUUGUACACACCGCCCGUCAAGCCAUGGAAGCCGGGGGUACCUGAAGUUGGUGACCGCAAGGAGCUACCUAGGGUAAAACUGGUAACUAGGGCUAAGUCGUAACAAGGUA
rnacentral:rRNA from 1 species